GGAGUUCUUCUGCUGACUCAGUUGCAAACUGAAGUCUGAGAAACUGUUCUUAGCUGAGUGUCUGAAGGCCACCUGCAUGCCUAGAUUCAUGGCCUUUCUCCAUCUUCAAAGCCAGCAGCAUCUCUAAUGUUCCUGCCUCCUUCUUACUAGGAUCCUUGUGACUGACUCUGUACACCUAGUGUUGGAGAUUGAGCCCUCAAGAGAAGGCUGUUCACUAAGAGGACCCUCAUAUAAAACUGGAACAUAUAUCCAUUCCAACAGAUGCACAAUUCACAACAUAAAAAGAAAAGAGAUAUGAAAAAGCAAGGCAACAUGACUUCUCCAAAACGUCUUCACUCUUUAAUAGUUAAAUCCAAAGAUACUGAAAUGGAUGAAAUGCUGGACAAAGAAUUCAAAAGAAUUAAAAGUUCAUUUAGAUAAUUAUCAGUGACCCCAACCAGGAUUCAGAUAAAUAAAUGGAUGAAAUAAAAAGUCAAUUCAAGACUUGGAUGAGAAAUUCAGCAGAGAUGAAGAUUCUGAAACCAAAUGGAAAUCUUGGAAAUGAGAAAGUUCAGUAAGUCAAAUAAUAAAACCCAUCAUCAGUAGACUUGGGCAACCAAAAAGAAAGAAUAUCAUGUUCUAAAGACAAGGUUGAGGAAUUACUACAUUCAGAGAAAAAUAAAGAAAAAGAAACCAGUCAUUCCCACAAUAUCGAAGAACUCUGGGAUAAAAUAAAGAUACCAAACCUAUGAAUCUGAAUUGUAGAUACAUAUAAAGGCAUUUUAAAAACUUAUUCAAUGAAGUUAUAGCAGAAAAUUUCCCAGAUUUCAGGAACAUCCAAGUACAAGAGGCAUUUAACCCUAAACAGACAUGGCCAGAAAAG